rnacentral:misc_RNA from 1 species
UCCGGCUUAACACCGGCAGUCUCCUUAGAGUGCCCAACUAAAUGGUGGCAACUAAGGAUAAGGGUUGCGCUCGUUAAGGGACUUAACCCGACAUCUCACGAUACGAGCUGACGACAGCCAUGCAGCACCUGUCUCUCGGUCCCCGAAGGGAAAGCCGUACUUCUACGGUUGUCCGAGGAUGUCAAACCCAGGUAAGGUUUUUCGCGUUGCAUCGAAUUAAACCACAUGCUCCACCGCUUGUGCGGGCCCCCGUCAAUUCCUUUGAGUUUUAACCUUGCGGCCGUACUUCCCAGGCGGGGUACUUAAUGCGUUAGCGUCGACACUGUAGGGGUCAAUUCCCACAACAUCUAGUACCCAUCGUUUACGGCGUGGACUAC